rnacentral:rRNA from 1 species
UAACCGCAUAGGGGAGCCGAAGGGAAACCGAGUCUUAACCGGGCGUUAAGUUGCAGGGUAUAGACCCGAAACCCGGUGAUCUAGCCAUGGGCAGGUUGAAGGUUGGGUAACACUAACUGGAGGACCGAACCGACUAAUGUUGAAAAAUUAGCGGAUGACCUGUGGCUGGGGGUGAAAGGCCAAUCAAACCGGGAGAUAGCUGGUUCUCCCCGAAAGCUAUUUAGGUAGCGCCUCGUGAACUCAUCUCCGGGGGUAGAGCACUGUUUCGGCUAGGGGGCCAUCCCGGCUUACCAACCCGAUGCAAACUGCGAAUACCGGAGAAUGUUAUCACGGGAGACACACGGCGGGUGCUAACGUCCGUCGUGAAGAGGGAAACAACCCAGACCGCCAGCUAAGGUCCCAAAGUCAUGGUUAAGUGGGAAACGAUGUGGGAAGGCCCAGACAGCCAGGAUGUUGGCUUAGAAGCAGCCAUCAUUUAAAGAAAGCGUAAUAGCUCACUGGUCGAGUCGGCCUGCGCGGAAGAUGUAACGGGGCUAAACCAUGCACCGAAGCUGCGGCAGCGAACGUAUCACUUAAAACGAUUCAGAAGCUUACGAUUGACGGAGCGAAGCGAGGUCAAAGCGUAUACAAAGUCGAGUCGGUUUAAGGAUACGUU